ensembl:lncRNA
CCUUAAUCAACGCAGAGUGACUUGUCAGGUCCAUGGGAGAUAAAUAAAGCUGAGAUCGUCCCUGUAGAAGCCUCCUGGGAGGUUAAAUAGGGUAUGUAAACAAGUGAUGGGGUUGCCAGCAGCUUCCACGUAAUGCCCACGAAGGGCUCUUUGCACAAGGACCUCAGCUGGGCUGGGCAUGUCCAAGCAGAGUUCAUCUGAAAGGGAUGAAAACCUCUGAACCCAGCUGGAUCCCUGGUUACUCCAUAAUGGCUCAAGGUUAGGGAGGAUCUGUCUCUUGUGUGCUCACGCACUGGAUUUCUCCCUUCCUGCCUCCCAACAGGUCCUUAACGGGCUUCAGAGUGCCCAGCUGGAGUCAGAGUGCCCAGGCAGCAACAGCAAAGAUGGAGCCAGAUUUCAAGAGAGGCCCCGUCAUAGAGAACCACUCAUUAAAAGACAACCUUCAUGUCAGCAAAACCCCAGGGUGUAACAAAAGAGAACUGUAGAACUUCCCUUUGAUCUGCACCUAUUUUUUUUAAAAAGUGCCAUGGGUAUAUUACGAAGAGCUUUAGAUGAAUGUUGGUCAAAACCUCUAAAGUCAACUAAGGAGGCCACUGCUACUGAGAAAUUCACUAGCAUGGACUGUCCGAUCUGCCUGCGGAGUCUCUGGUUUCUUUUGGGAACAGAAAUCUUCAAUCUGUGAGAUCCAGCACAUGGCAACAGAGAAACAACCACUCAGAAGUCACAGGGAACAGAAAAGCAUAGAAUCAGAAGGAAGUGAUGAUCAGAGAGCACCCAGAACUGUGGUCAGCGCUUUCAGGCACUUGAUGUUUGUUGACUGACCGUCUGAAGGACUGAAUGAAUACUUGAAUAACCCAACCUCCUCAUUACACAGAGGAGGAAACUGAAGCCACAGGGGAUGUUGAUUUGCUGAGUCACGUAGCAUAGCAAUGGCACCUGGGACUGGCUUGUAGGGGACCUGAGUCUCACCUCUGUGCUCGUGUUAUCACAGUGAUGGCAACCGGAAAAAUUAAGGAGAGCUGGGGUGGAGUGAAGGAAAUAAGGAAUCAUAAAAGGG